AAUAUUAUAUUUUUAUUUUUUAAAUUUAUUUUUUACAUCUACUUAUCAAAAUAAUAAUAAAAAAAUAAUAAUUUGCAAAACAAAUAAUAAUAAAAUUUGGCGAAACUGCACCGCUGUGCCUAACCGACACUUUCCACUCCAAGAUAUACUUACAGCGAGCAGAAAGGAUUUGAUUCUUGCUUACGAAAAUGGAAAGAUCAGGAGAAUUGCAUUUAAAUGAGCUGCCGGAGGGAUGCAUAGCGAACGCACUGUCCUUUACAGCUCCCCUGGACGUUGCUCGGCUCUCAGCUGUCUCUCCCAUGUUCAAGUCGGCCGCCAUAUCCGACGUUGUAUGGGAGAGGUUCUUGCCUAGCGAUCUUGAGUCUGUCCUUUCCACUUCCCCUGAUGGUUCUCUCCUGCUGGCAUCUGUUUCAUCCAAAAGGGAACUGUAUUUUAGCCUUUGUGACAAUCCAAUCCUUGUUGAAAAUGGGAGAAAGAGCUUUUCAUUGGAAAAAAAGAGUGGGAAGAAGUGUUACAUGCUAUCUGCAAUGGACCUCGUGAUUACAUGGAGCGAUACUCCUCGAUAUUGGAAAUGGAAUUCUAAUCCAGCAUCCAGGUUUCCAGAAGUGGCUGAGCUUAUUAAAGUUUGUUGGCUUGAAAUCCGUGGCAAAAUCAAUACUUGUAUGCUCUCCCCAUCAAUAUUGUACACAGCAAACCUUGUCUUCAAGUUCUCUAUAGAAGCUUAUGGAUUGGAUGACCAGCCAGUUGAGGUUGCAAUGAAACUGGAUGGAGACAAGAUUUGUGCGCAUUCUGUUUGCUGGAAUGCAGAAAGGAGAGGGCAGCAAUUCCGUACUGCAAGAAGGCCAGUUGAUUUUUUUAACUUUAGCUGCAGAAGAUCUAUACCUGCCAGAGAAAGUGAUGGACAUUAUCCAAAGAAAAGAGGAGAUGGGUGGUUGGAGAUUGAACUGGGUGACUUCUUUUGCACGGAAGGGGAAGAUGGAGAGCUGGAAAUGAGAGUUUUUGACGGCACCAAUUAUUGGAAACAUGGACUAAUUGUCGAAGGGAUUGAGAUCAGACCAAAAGAAGUAGGGGCUAGUCCAAGCAGUUGAAGAUACACAGGAUGGAUUUCUUCAUCUAAAGUGGCAUGUUUAUUAUGAGAAGUGGAUUCAGUCGUACAAGUUUCCAACCAUACUGUUGAUUUGAAACUAGAACCACAAAAGGAGCCAAGUUUCUCUGUUCAAAUAAUGUACAAGUCUGUAUUCAAAACUAUCCAGUGUGUAUAUAGUUUGAAUCCAAAAGGUUUUGUUAACAGGUUUUACCACAUUUGUGACAUUACUAAUAUGUACAAGGGACUUGAUGACCAAGUAGAAGUCUCCAUGGGACUUGUUGGAGAACUACUAGUUGGAAUGCAGCACCAUGGUGGUGAAACUGUAAACAUAAGAAGGCCCAUUGGUUCAUCCACAGCUGAAAGAAAGUGAUGGACAUUAUCCAAGGGAAAGAGGAGAUGGAUGGUUGGAGAUUGAGUUGGGUGACUUCUUUACCAAGGAACGGGAAGAUGGAGAACUGGAGAUGAAAGUUUUUGAUAGUACUAGUCUUUGGAAAGCCGUUUUGACUGUUGAAGGGAUUGAGAUCAGACCAAAAGAGGGUAAAUAGUUAAGCAAGAUUUUUCACAUUCUAUAGAUAUUUCCUCGUGUUUACACAUUCUAGUAGGCAAAUCAGUAGUAAUCUUAAUUAAUUGCAUAAAUGUCAUGAGCUUUUUCUGGUGUAAUUUCAAAGCUAAAUCAGUUUUUCCUUCUGCAUUUCA